rnacentral:lncRNA from 1 species
CAGAGAGGACAACUCCACCAACCGCCUCCGGGAGAGUCUGGACCUGUUCAGAUCCAUCUGGACCAACAGGUUCCUGAAGACCAUCUCUGUGAUUUCUGUUCCUGAACAAACAGGAUGUUUUGGCCGACAAGAUUCUGGCGGGAAAAUCCAAACUGGAGGAUUACUUUCCCGAGUACACAAACUACAGCGUCCCGCCGGACUCGGAGCCAGUCGCCGACGAAGAUCCUAUCGUCACUUCGAGCCAAGUUCUUCAUCAGAGACGAGUUCCUGGUAA